UAGGGAAUCUUCGGCAAUGGGGGCAACCCUGACCGAGCAACGCCGCGUGAGUGAAGAAGGUUUUCGGAUCGUAAAGCUCUGUUGUAAGAGAAGAACGUGUGUGAGAGUGGAAAGUUCACACAGUGACGGUAACUUACCAGAAAGGGACGGCUAACUACGUGCCAGCAGCCGCGGUAAUACGUAGGUCCCGAGCGUUGUCCGGAUUUAUUGGGCGUAAAGCGAGCGCAGGCGGUUUAAUAAGUCUGAAGUUAAAGGCAGUAGCUUAACCAUUGUUCGCUUUGGAAACUGUUAAACUUGAGUGCAGAAGGGGAGAGUGGAAUUCCAUGUGUAGCGGUGAAAUGCGUAGAUAUAUGGAGGAACACCGGUGGCGAAAGCGGCUCUCUGGUCUGUAACUGACGCUGAGGCUCGAAAGCGUGGGGAGCAAACAGG
rnacentral:rRNA from 1 species